GGCGAACGGGUGAGUAACACGUGGGUGAUCUGCCCUGCACUCUGGGAUAAGCCUGGGAAACUGGGUCUAAUACCGGAUAGGGCCAUGCUUUAGUGUGCGUGGUGGAAAGUUUUUCGGUGUAGGAUGAGCCCGCGGCCUAUCAGCUUGUUGGUGGGGUAAUGGCCUACCAAGGCGGCGACGGGUAGCCGGACUGAGAGGUUGGUCGGCCACAUUGGGACUGAGAUACGGCCCAG
rnacentral:rRNA from 1 species